rnacentral:rRNA from 1 species
UACGUAGGGUGCGAGCGUUGUCCGGAUUUAUUGGGCGUAAAGAGCGUGUAGGCGGCCAGGUAGGUCCGUUGUGAAAACUGGAGGCUUAACCUCCAGCUGUCGAUGGAAACCAUCUGGCUAGAGUCCGGAAGAGGAGAAUGGAAUUCCCGGUGUAGCGGUGAAAUGCGCAGAUAUCGGGAAGAACACCCGUGGCGAAGGCGGUUCUCUGGGACGGUACUGACGCUGAGACGCGAAAGCGUGGGGAGCGAACAGG